ACUCAACUGACGAGUCCUAAAUAGAACGAAACCGGCGUCUUGGAU
rfam:Schistosoma mattheei strain Denwood, Zambia genome assembly, scaffold: SMTD_scaffold0005522